rnacentral:rRNA from 1 species
CCUACGGGGGGCAGCAGUGGGGAAUUUUGGACAAUGGGCGAAAGCCUGAUCCAGCAAUGCCGCGUGUGUGAAGAAGGCCUUCGGGUUGUAAAGCACUUUUGUCCGGAAAGAAAUCCUUGGCUCUAAUACAGUCGGGGGAUGACGGUACCGGAAGAAUAAGCACCGGCUAACUACGUGCCAGCAGCCGCGGUAAUACGUAGGGUGCGAGCGUUAAUCGGAAUUACUGGGCGUAAAGCGUGCGCAGGCGGUUUGCUAAGACCGAUGUGAAAUCCCCGGGCUCAACCUGGGAACUGCAUUGGUGACUGGCAGGCUAGAGUAUGGCAGAGGGGGGUAGAAUUCCACGUGUAGCAGUGAAAUGCGUAGAGAUGUGGAGGAAUACCGAUGGCGAAGGCAGCCCCCUGGGCCAAUACUGACGCUCAUGCACGAAAGCGUGGGGAGCAAACAGGAUUAGAUACCCGAGUAGUC